GCUUUGUUUCUCUGUAGGACGGCGGAGCCCAGGGCGCCUGCGGGAGCCCCGUGCCCGGAGCCAGGCCGGCGAUGGGGGCACUUCCCCGGCGUGCGCCGGCAGGCCCGAGCCUCUGCCGGGGCCAGGCGGGCACUGAAGGCAAAAGUGGGGAGGUGAGCCUUGGGGAGACCUGAAGUUAUGGCUGCGGCUGACAGUGAAGAGGUGUGUGAUGUGGGCAGUUGUCUGGUUUGCUCUACCGUGCCUGAAUCUCUAGCAAAUAAUGGGCACUGUGAAGGCAGAGGUGGGGAGUUGAGCCUUGGGGAGACCUGAAGUUCAGGCUGCAGCUGACAAUGAAGAGAUGUGGAUGAGGACAUUGUCUGGUUUGCUCCACCAUGUGUGCCCCUUUGUCAGGGGAGAAUGGUUGAGAUUUACAAAAAGUUGUCCUGGGUCCUGCUGGAGUUUGAGUGUUCUGCUUAAGAAGAUGGAUGGUUCUGCUGCUCCCUUGCUGCUGCCUGGGAUCCUCAUUCAAGCCACAGCAUUCCCAUACCCUGCAAUAGUUCUGACCUCUCAAAGCUGUCAGGAGUGAUGAAUUUGUGUCCUGCCAGCUUAGACAGAGGGUGUUACAAUUUCUAUCCCCUGGGUACAAGGCAUGUAACUGGAGUGGAUUCUGGAACUUGCUGCGUGUUUAAUGCAGUUGGAUGCUUUUAUCGGCAGGGGCUGCAUUCCCAACCUGGCACAGAUCAUGCCAUAGCAUGCAAGGCAAGGAAGCCUUUCCUGGGAGCAGCUGUCAGCUACUGGGAGGAUGGAUGGCCUUGUGUGUAAGGAGGGGAGUCAGGGCUUGGUUCUCCCCUGCCAUCCAGAAAGCUGCAAUGCUGUAUCCCUGGCAGCCUGUGAAGCGGGCAAGGUGUGUCUGGGGUGCUGCAGCACAGUGUGUUUCUGUACUGUUCCAAGCCUGGUUUUAAUAAAACCUUGAGUAAUGGC